UAGAAGCAUCAAGAGUCAGGCCGACGCCUGACACCAACCUGCCUCCGUGCAAGGUGGUGCCUUCCCUGUCUGACAGUGUGAAGGGAUGUGGCCAGAAGACCGGCAAUAUACGGACCCAUG
rnacentral:ncRNA from 2 species